rnacentral:lncRNA from 1 species
ACUGUUUCAGCUAUAAAGUGGUCAAUAAUCAGAGGGUUAUCAACUUGGUUUUACUUGGUUUCCUAAUCCCUUUAGUUUUGGGUUGAAAGAAUUUGCAUAGGUAUUUCUGAAAUGUAUAUUUAUGAUAUAAUACACAUAGGAUGAUAUAUAUUGUAUAUCUGUCCACGUUGAAAUAAUGCAAGUAUAUUAUGCUUCAUUUUCAGUGACCUGGAGCAUAAUAAAACCUCAAGUGCAUUCUUUUGGCAAACUAGAUAAUGUUUGAAUUAUAUAAGAGGAGGAAAUCAUCCUUCCUGUCCCGUUCUUGCUGGAGCCUGGAGUAGCCAUGGAAAACAGGCCCAGCCCAGCUGGCUAGAUCCUGACCCACACGUGUCUGCUUGCCUUUGUCAUCUCAGCUGACGCCCACUAACUUCACAAAGCAGGAGCACCUACCUGGAGGCCUGGAAGCCGACUGCAAACGUAGCCAAAGUCCUCAGGGGGCUGGGGACUUACGGAAUGCAGCUGAGUGCCUUGGAAGAAAUAUGACCAGAGAAGAAUUCUCCCCAGACUACAAGAAGUUCCUGAAGCUGGUGGGCGAGAAGGGCAGCGGGAACUUUCAUGAUCCCCUGAGUAGCACUGAGAGGAUGUCUCCUAAAAGAAAUGGCUGCCUGCUGUGUUUUGGCAGAGAGGACUCAUAAACAGCCUCCUGUGCAGCCCUGCCUCAGGUAGUCACAGAAGCUGCCGAAGUCUGUUUUGGAGAACCAUGCAGAAAUGAAGGGCACUUCUCAGGGGGAUUCCUGGGAGAGGCGCUGACCCAUGCACAGCUUUGGACUUCCAGGAGGAACCCAGGAAUGGCUGAGGUUUCCUCCAAGUAUGGAAGAAGAUAGGCUCACAACUGCAAUUAAAUUGAUUGAUAGAGAAUGAAGGUAUGCGCCAUUUUUGCACUGUUGGUUUUGUGGACUGAAAUUCAUACCCC